GCAUGGGAGCAGGCGAUUUCAGGGGGUCCAGAGGCGAUUUUUUCCAUGUUUGUUUGCUUUUUUCCCCUCCAGAAGUUAGAUAAAUUCUCGUCGGUGCGGCUCGCCGGUGCCUGUGCUGUCAGCAGGAUGCUGUUGGAGCUUCACCUGGAAUGAUUCUGGAGGUGUUGACUGCAGGGAAGCAGUUACCAGUUUCCCACGUAUCACAGCUGACAGUGAAGUUCCUUCAGUUCUGGGAGAUUUCCAGCAAUUCCACUUAGAUCCCAAAGCACAGCUGUGAAUGCACGUGGAGCUGCACUUUUUGAGAUUCCAGCCCAGAGAUUUCUGCAGCCAGAGAUCACCACAAUAGGGGAUGCAGCCUGGAAGGAGACCUCUGCUUUCCAAGCUGCUGCCAGGGAAGAAGGAACCGUGGCUGUGUGUGGUUUUCUCGCCCAGGGUGACCUGGAGCACAUCUGCAAAGCGCUCCAGAGCAGCAGGAAUGCGCUCCGUUAGGACAUGAUUCAUCCUGCAUACCGCAUGGGUGGCUGCUCGGCGAGAAUUUGGACAUUUGCAUACGCUGCCGAGACCUUCCUCUUCUCGCUUGCUCCCAAACCCCUGCGCUUCAUCCAGAGCCCCUGUGGGGGCUGCACAGCCACAAAUCCCUUCCCGGGGCAUGGGAUGCAGCCAGCCUGGCAGUGGGGGUCCGGGAGCUCCUUCCCUGCCCGCAUGGUGAGGCAGAAACAGAAUCACAAAGUUGGAAGAGACCUUUAAGAUCAUCUUACCUCUGCCCUAACACCUCAGCUAGACUAUAGCACCAAGUGCCAUGUCCAGUCUUUUUAAACACAUCCAGAGAUGGUGAUUUUACCACCUCCCUGGGAAGAGCAUUCCAGUGCUUUAUUUUGGUGAAAUUUUUUGUCUUAAUAGCCAACCUAUACCUUCCCUGAUGUAGCUGAGACUGUGUCCUCUGGUUCUGUCAGUGCUCCUGGUGGAAGAGACCGACCUCCCCUGUCCACAGCCUCCCCUCAGGAAGGUAUAGAGAGCAGUAAGGUCACCUCUGAGCCUCCUCUUCUCCAGGCCAAACAACCCCAGCUCCUUCAAACGUUCCUCACAUGGUUUGUGUUCCCAGCCCCUCACCAGCCUUGUUGCCCUCCUCUGAACACAAUCAAGCAUCUGAACAUUCUUCCUCAAUUGAGAGAAGCUGCUCCCAGCCAGGUGGAAGGAUGGCUUUAAAUCCUCAGCUCCUGCUGCAACCGAAGCUGGGACAGAGCUGCUGCCCGGGGAUCAGUUUGGGGUUUGGUCUGUGCAGGCAGGAAAAUCCCAUCCCAGCUCUGCUCAGGCAAAGGGAGCGCCGCGAGCACGACGGAGCCAAGCGCCCGCUUCUGGGAAGGAAACAGGAAUUGGGCAACGAGGCAAUUGGCUCUGGCUUAGGGCUGCUCCCGGGUAACUGGAUUAUUUACUUCAGCAGCUGCAGAGUUGGAUCAGCCUCGAGAAAAGAGGGAGAUGCUCUCUCCCUGGGAGGGGGACUCCCUGUGAGGAGAGAGCGGGACGCGGCUGCGAUCCAUGGGAAAGGUGGAGGAAUGGUGACAAACACCAAGGUAAUGUCUUAGUGAGGAAGAAAAUAAUGAAUUUCAUGGUUUUUAACCAUAUCUA